rnacentral:lncRNA from 1 species
UUCUGGAGGAUUAUGCACAGGUAAGAAACUGAUUCUCUUGGGCAUAGAUUCAACGGUACAAUUUCUAUCAGCUAAUACGAAGUUAUUGCUACACAUCUAGUGAAAAACUCUGGAAACGCCAUAUUCAGAGAGCCUUGCUGAGAAAGCAAAAAUGUUAAUAGAAAAAACUGUAAAAGAAUGUUGUAUUGUAUUGUAGAUUAUCUUUUGGGAGGAUUUGAUUCUUAGCAAGUAAUUUCUGUUAGAUAGUAAAGUAAGAGACGUCAACCAUGGAUUAGAAAAACAUUGGAGUACAUGUUAAUAAAUUUAUUAUAUAUUUACAUGCAAUAUUAGAAAAGUCAAA